rnacentral:rRNA from 1 species
UACGUAGGGUGCAAGCGUUGUUCGGAAUCAUUGGGCGUAAAGCGCGUGUAGGCGGUUAGUUAAGUCGGGUGUGAAAUCCCUGGGCUCAACCGAGGAAGUGCAUCCGAAACUAACUAGCUGGAAGAUGGUAGAGGAAGGUGGAAUUCCAAGUGUAGAGGUGAAAUUCGUAGAUAUUGGGAAGAACACCGGUGGCGAAGGCGGCGACCUGGUCCGAUACUGACGCUGAGGCGCGAAAGCGUGGGGAGCAAACAGG